AUACUCACCUGGCAGGGAGAGUGCAUGGUCACGAAGGUGGUUUUCCCAGGGUGAGGCUCAUCCACUGCACUCUGGAUGGGCUGACCCCUGUGAUUUCCCCACACGUGGGAAAAUAUACAGCGUAACUUAUGGUAAUGGAGGACUUUGUCUGCACUCCCCCCUC
ensembl:snRNA U1 U1 spliceosomal RNA